GACGAACGCUGGCGGCGUGCCUAAUACAUGCAAGUCGAGCGAGCUUGCCUAGAUGAAUUUGGUGCUUGCACCAAAUGAAACUAGAUACAAGCGAGCGGCGGACGGGUGAGUAACACGUGGGUAACCUGCCCAAGAGACUGGGAUAACACCUGGAAACAGAUGCUAAUACCGGAUAACAACACUAGACGCAUGUCUAGAGUUUAAAAGAUGGUUCUGCUAUCACUCUUGGAUGGACCUGCGGUGCAUUAGCUAGUUGGUAAGGUAACGGCUUACCAAGGCAAUGAUGCAUAGCCGAGUUGAGAGACUGAUCGGCCACAUUGGGACUGAGACACGGCCCAAACUCCUACGGGAGGCAGCAGUAGGGAAUCUUCCACAAUGGACGCAAGUCUGAUGGAGCAACGCCGCGUGAGUGAAGAAGGGUUUCGGCUCGUAAAGCUCUGUUGGUAGUGAAGAAAGAUAGAGGUAGUAACUGGCCUUUAUUUGACGGUAAUUACUUAGAAAGUCACGGCUAACUACGUGCCAGCAGCCGCGGUAAUACGUAGGUGGCAAGCGUUGUCCGGAUUUAUUGGGCGUAAAGCGAGUGCAGGCGGUUCAAUAAGUCUGAUGUGAAAGCCUUCGGCUCAACCGGAGAAUUGCAUCAGAAACUGUUGAACUUGAGUGCAGAAGAGGAGAGUGGAACUCCAUGUGUAGCGGUGGAAUGCGUAGAUAUAUGGAAGAACACCAGUGGCGAAGGCGGCUCUCUGGGUCUGCAACUGACGCUGAGGCUCGAAAGCAUGGGUAGCGAACGGG
rnacentral:rRNA from 1 species